rnacentral:rRNA from 1 species
AACAAACACUGGCGGCGUGCAUAAUACAUGCAAGUCGAACGGGGUAGCAAUACCUAGUGGCGCACGGGUGAGUAACGCGUGGAUAAUCUGCCUUAGAGAGGGGGAUAACUAGUCGAAAGAUUAGCUAAUAACGCAUAAGACCACAAGAACUGGGGUUCAAGGGGUCAAAGGUUUUUCGCUCUAAGAUGAGUCCGCGUAAGAUUAGCUAGUUGGUGAGGUAAUGGCUAACCAAGGCGACGAUCUUUAGCUGGUCUGAGAGGAUGAUCAGUCACACUGGAACUGAGACACGGUCCAGACUCCUACGGGAGGCAGCAGUAGGGAAUAUUGCACAAUGGAGGAAACUCUGAUGCAGCGACGCCGCGUGAGUGAUGAAGGCCUUCGGGUCGUAAAGCUCUGUCGCAGGGGAAUAACACAAUGAAGGUACCCUGUAAGAAAGGAUCGGCUAACUUCGUGCCAGCCGCCGCAGUAACAC